GCACAGAGCUUUAUAUAGCAGCGUGGAAGAACCAUGUGGAAGUUGUUCAGCAGCUGCUGAAGGCUGGAGCAGAAGUGGACAAGGCGAAACAAGACGGAACUACACCACUGUACAUAGCAGCCGAGAAUGGACAUGUGGAAGUUGUGCAGCAGCUGCUGAAGGCUGGAGCAGAUGCGGACAAGGCUAAUGAGAACGGAUUCACACCACUGUUGGUAGCAGCCCAGGAGGGGCAUGUGG